rnacentral:lncRNA from 1 species
CAGAAACAGAGAGAGCAGACCUGGUCUUGGGAAUUUUAAUUACAUGAGCCAGAAAUUCAUUCCUUAACUCAGUAUGAGUUGGGUUUUUCUGUCACUUGCCGUUAAAUCAAUUCUAAGACGAAAUCUACCCAGCUGUGAUCAUGUUCAGAAUGGGACAGUUUGUCAGAUGCGAGAGCCUUCUGUGUGCCGGGCACUCUGCUGGGCCCUGGGGACACCCAGGGAUCAAUAAAUCAGGGCUUCUCUGCAAAAGGAUGCUGCUCCAAACACGUGAACUUAUUUCUACCCUCCUACCGACAACUAUGGAAUCUCUGUUUUUUCUAAGCAAGAUGUCCUUUUAUAAAGACUUGUGUGGGUAAGGGGAAAAGACAGGAGGAGAGAAUCCUGGUUGUGUAUUGUUGCUAUAAUUUCUUAACUCCUAGAGAAAUAGCUAGCACUUUAAUAAAAUUUUCUUUUUAGACGUGAAGAAGGAGAAGUGCUGUUAUUAUUUAAAUGACAGCCUUAGGCAGCAGUCCUUGAAGAGAGAGAGACAGCCGGAGCCAGAGAGUGUUAACAGAACUACCCGGCUGAAGGUGACCUUGAAUACGCUUCCUCUUAUCUAGAAGGAUCUCUAAAAUGAGUUAAGACAUGUGGGCUUUGGAAUCAGACUGUUGGACUCAAAUCCCUGCCCUGCCACUUAAUUGCUCUAUCACCUUGGGUCGCAGUAAUUUCUCUGGUUGUUGAGAGAGUCAAUGGAACCUCAGCUGUUCUGAUCAUCUGUAAUUCCACCAUUUCCACCACCAGAUACACACCUUCACUUCUUAGACAGACACUGCUUGCUGUCAGCAUCCAGGCCCACAAAUGGGAGAGAGAACAGCUAAAGACAGCAACCUGCUUGGCAUCCCCCUGCACACCAUAAUAGUCCUCAGGGUGAAGUAACCAUGGACAUCAGUGUCCACAGCAUCUUCAAGGUGGCUGUUAUGGAUAAAGAGGACAGGCCAAAAGGACAGUAUUGAGUCACAAAGUGGAAGACUGUAUCGGUUAAGAAAGCUUUUGAUUAUACAUGAUCCAGAAUGCUGAGAAGUUCAAAGCAGAAAAAUGAGAAGCAGAGAAACAUGGUUGGUAUCUCCUAAGAACUCUCUUGAGUCCACUGUCUUUACUCAGGACAAAAUGGAAAACAGAAAAAUUCAAGGCAAAAGCAAUCAUGGAGGGCAAACAGGAGAUUCAGUAAGGCCAUCAGCUGGCUGAACAAGAACUAGCCUGCUGAUAAGGAAGAAUUUGAGUGUCAUCAGGAAUACUGAAGAAUUCCAAAAUUCUGCAAGUUGAUCGUCACAAGCUGUACCAGGGAGCUGACAACAAGCCCUCGCAGGGGCAGAGCUCCACUGCCACAGUGUGUCUUGUCAGAGAGAGAUACCCACUAUCGAAGAAGGUGACCAUGCUGACCAGAAGAAAGCAUAUUCCACAGAUCUGUCGCAGAGUUUACAUAUGUGGCCCAGUCAGUUCACUAAGUCAGUUUCAAAGGUUGAUUUUAAACUAUGAAUUAAGCUGUGGAGAUAAACAGUUCUGAAUAUGUGUAAUAGCUCAACUAAAAUAGAAGUUCAUUUCCUGCUCACUUAACAGUCCAAGGCAGGUGUUCCUGGCUGAUGGAUGGUUCUUCUCCACACGGUGACUCAGGGAAUGACCCAGGCUCAUUUUGUCUUCUCUCCACCAGGGCCUCAUCCUCAUCAGCUGCCUCCAGUCAAUAGACGAGAAGUGAGAGAGAGAGGGGCACGCCUGCUGCUUUAAAGCCUUGUCUCAGAAAUGAUGUUCAUCACCAAAACUCAGUCACACGAUCUAACUGCAGGAAGGCUGGCCUACGUCGUCCAAUUGUGUUCCCAAAGAGUAGGGACAAGGGAUUGGUGGGGAGGACAGGGAACAGCUCGCAGUCUGCAGUUGUUUCAAUUGGGUCAUAUUUCAUAUACUUCAGAGAGUUUCAUCGCACUUCAGCAGUGUUAUGAGUGAAAAGUAACAUUUAUGUCUCAACAAAUAAAGAUCCACUUUAAAUCGGUGUCAUAAAAACAAGUAGAAUUUCUGGGUCAAAUGGCAUACAAAAUUCUAAAGGUUUUCAUUAAGUAUCGUCAAGUUGACCUUGAGAAGUUGUUCAGUUUAUACUCUCAUCUCCAUGCCAUCACCUACACCACUGCUAACAUUGCAUACAGUAUUAUCAUUUCAAAGCUUUUCAUAAACAAAAUAAAGUAUUCAAACAAUAGAGAAAAGAUGAGUGAGGAAUGUAAAAAAAAGUCACCAGAGGUAAUCACCACUAGUCUUUUGUUGACCACCUUUUCAUACGACUCUCUACACAGAGAUAUUCCACAGAAAAGAUAUUACAUUUGCCUUUUGAAAAAUUGUGA